rnacentral:lncRNA from 1 species
CCGUGCGGAGCCCGGGUGAAGCGGGCCGGAGGGCGCCGAGCCCGCGAUCCUCUCCGCCCCACCUCCUCGCCUCCUGGCGUUCGAUCCCCCAGGGCCCCUCGGCGCUUCCUACCAGGCCCUGCGGCUGCCGAGCUCGCGGAGAGAUGGGACCUCGGCCUCGGACGGCUGAGCGGGCUCUGCGUCCGCCGGCGCCCCCUGCUCUCCUGCGGGGCUCUGACCCGCGCUGCCCGACGCGCCCUCCGUGUCCAGCGACUGAGGCUGUGCCCUGGCUCAGCGCCUGGUGGGGGUCCAGUGUUCACCAGUUGUGAACAAAUGCACAAGAGAGAAGAAAAGGAGAGACACAUCCUUGUAAGGUGGCAUGGCCUCAUCACGUUGUGGAAGAUCAGAGAAAGACUACGUGGGAGCCAACCAGAGGGAGAGGGGGCAGCUCGGUGCAGAGGGGCCCUUGAGAGGUGUCUCCAUCCUGUCAGGAAGCAGCUGGACCACAGUGCUCCCAAGAUGAGUCCACUGUGUGCCAAGGUGGUCAUGGGAGUUAUCAUGUCAGGAACAUUCUAGACCCCAGUGUCCUUGAGGGGUGCUGCUGUAGAUCUGGAGCUCGUUGGAGGAAGCCUCAAGGGGUUGGACGCACUGGCCCUCUCAGGAUGCUUACCUGGGUCCCAGUUCUCCUGGAGAGGCCUCCUCGUGGUAAGUUAAUGCCAAGGGGCUAAGUCAGCCUUUGUUUCUGAGAUGAAAAUUCUAAGCUGCUGGCCUUGUUGACUUUCUCCUUUAGAUUAUUUUGGAGUUCAUCACAGACACUGGUGUAGCAGAGUGAAGAGUGAUGUUGCCACAUGACACCUCGCCAGACCUUCUAACCCUGUUGUAUCAGCAAAACAUAGGAGGACUUUUCCCUCAGCGUGAGUGGAUACAUGAGGCUUAUGUCCAGAGCUGGCUCUGCCCUUCCCCAGCAGUGUCGCAGAGCGUCAUGGACCAAGAAGACUGGUUUCCUUUCGUCUGGGCCAGGUCAUUCAGUGGCCUCCAUGUCCCCCUGUCCUCCAGUGUAACUUUUUAGAGCCAAGAGUUUUCUGUGCUUUGUAUCCUUGUCCUCUCACCCACCAAAUAAAUCUUGAAACUGCCCCGUUGCUUGUUUUUUU